rnacentral:rRNA from 1 species
AUUGAACGACUGGCGGAAUGCUUUACACAUGCAAGUCGAACGGCAGCACGGAGAGCUUGCUCUCUGGUGGCGAGUGGCGAACGGGUGAGUAAUAUAUCGGAACGUAUCCAAUAAUGGGGGAUAACGAGUCGAAAGAUUCGCUAAUACCGCAUACGCCCUACGGGGGAAAGCAGGGGAUCGUAAGACCUUGCGUUAAUGGAGCGGCCGAUAUCUGAUUAGCUUGUUGGUGAGGUAAAGGCUCACCAAGGCGACGAUCAGUAGCUGGUUUGAGAGAACGACCAGCCACACUGGAACUGAGACACGGUCCAGACUCCUACGGGAGGCAGCAGUGGGGAAUUUUGGACAAUGGGGGCAACCCUGAUCCAGCCAUUCCGCGUGAGUGAAGAAGGCCUUCGGGUUGUAAAGCUCUUUCGCAAGGGAAGAAAACUUAUGAUCGAAUAAAUCAUGAGGUUGACGGUACCUUGAUAAGAAGCACCGGCUAACUACGUGCCAGCAGCCGCGGUAAUACGUAGGGUGCGAGCGUUAAUCGGAAUUACUGGGCGUAAAGCGUGCGCAGGCGGUUUUGUAAGUCGGAUGUGAAAUCCCCGGGCUCAACCUGGGAACUGCGUUCGAAACUGCAAGGCUAGAGUGUGUCAGAGGGGGGUAGAAUUCCACGUGUAGCAGUGAAAUGCGUAGAGAUGUGGAGGAAUACCAAUGGCGAAGGCAGCCCCCUGGGAUAACAC